rnacentral:rRNA from 1 species
AUUGAACGCUGGCGGCGGGCUUAACACAUGCAAGUCGAGCGGGGACUUCGGUCCUAGCGGCGAACGGGUGAGGAAUGCUUGGGAAUCUGCCCAGUAGCGGGGGAUAACGUUUCGAAAGGAACGCUAAUACCGCAUACGCCCUACGGGGGAAAGGGGGGGAUCUUCGGACCUCUCACUAUUGGAUGAGCCCAAGUCGGAUUAGCUAGUUGGUGGGGUAAAGGCCUACCAAGGCGACGAUCCGUAGCUGGUCUGAGAGGCUGAUCAGCCACACUGGAACUGGGACACGGUCCAGACUCCUACGGGAGGCAGCAGUGGGGAAUAUUGGACAAUGGGCGAAAGCCUGAUCCAGCCAUGCCGCGUGUGUGAAGAAGGCCUUCGGGUUGUAAAGCACUUUAAGCGAGGAGGAAUGGCUGAGGGUUAAUAACCUUCAGCAGUGACGUUACUCGCAGAAUAAGCACCGGCUAACUCUGUGCCAGCCGCCGCCGUAACAC